UUGUAUACCAGUUUAACACCGUUUACCGUAUGUAAGCUUUGUUAUUAAAAAGCCACAGAAGCUGUUUAUGUUUGGUGGACAUCCGACAAAGGGAAGGGCAUCAGACGAUAACAGAUCAAAUGUGAGAUAGAGGAGGAAUGAUGAAAGGGAACUUUAAAUAAAACAGGAUUUGUUGAUAAAUGAGGGGGGGGGGAAGUAAACAAAUGAAGACAAGGUAAUAAUGGAGACAAAAAUCAUAAAAACAAACAAGACAAUGAGUUUCACACAAAAUAAUUUAUUUUUUGUGUAAAGAAAAAAAAAAAAUCUGGAUUUAUGACAAAAUAUUUCUCUCUGCUUGCGGCAAACAGCCAUACAGUACGCCAACACUCAUGCAGCUAAAAUGAGAAUAAAGGGACAACAAAAUGGCUGCCAAACAGAAUGCAGUACUUGUCUUAUAAAUACUGCAUAAAUAAAAUAUUAAAAAAAAAAAAAAAAAAAAAAGUGAUGUAACUGUGGAAACGGUGUCACAACAAAACAGAAUACACACAUGUAAACAAACACAGAGGAACAGGAGAUACUCGACCACAAAUGAAAAUCAAUGGCAAAUAAGUUACAUUCAAAAUAAAAAAAAUUGUGUCUUUUUUUUAAAGCUAGACUUCCCAAUGCAGGUCAUCAAAAAUAAAGUGCCCUACUUUUCUCUUUUACCUGGAUUAAGAUCAAGUUUUCCUACUCAGAAUUAGCCCUCCAUUGAAGUGGCUCAAAAGUCCUUCUCCUGUGAUAUACAGUACAGGGCAUUUAGUUUCCUACAUAAUUAGCAUCGAUAGGCACUAAUGCAUUUGCUCAUUCUAAAAGUUCUUAAACUCUCCGAUCUAUGCAAUGUGGGCUUCAUUUGACUUCAUUUCAACUAAAACCAGAGCAUUUUGGUGUUUAGUCUUUAAGAUUGCAAGAGCAUUAGAUGGAAACGCUGCUAUAAACGGUCACAUGUCUUUUUUGAUCUGAUUGGGUUAGAGCAUAUUUAUGGUUUGGUUUGAUUUUUUUAAAGCAAAAAUACAUAUCAAUGCCAAUAAAUCUCUGGUUCCAGCUUCUUAAUUCAGAGGAUUUGUUAUUGUUCCCUGUCAUAUAAUAGCAAUGCAAACAUAACAUCUCUUAAUCAAACAAAACAAGAUACUGGGAGACAUCACGUUAGUACACUAUUUUUUUUUUUUUUUUUAAGUUGUAUACGGCAAAAGUGAAAAUAUUUGCCCUCAUCUGAAGUAAUCUGCUUUUCUACUUUUGUUUUUUUAAUUGUCUUUUGGAAAGUGCAAAAAUAAACGUGUGCCAUUACUGGAUAUCUUAUUUUCAUAUCAUGUUUAACUGCUUAAUUUUUACUUUCACAUUCAGUAGUUGCAUCAAUCUUUGGACUUAUUUUACGAUUGCAUGUCUCAAACGAUUGUCUAUAUGGCUUCAUAUAAAUUAGGCGACAUUGAAAUAUUAAAUACAUUUUCUAUUAUAUUAUAUUUCACUACUUCCACGUAUAUUCUGCAUUCUUAUAAUCCCACUAUUACUUUAGGAUACGCCACUUCACAAGAGACAUUAACAUUCGAGCCAACAGUUGUAACUAGGCACUCAACUGCUGAACAUGAAUAGGAUUACUUAGGGUACAAAUAUCUAAAUGUUUACACGGUAAAUCAUAAAAAAUAUUAUUGCAUAAAGAGCAAUAACAGUAUAUCUAACUAGAGUGUAAAAUGUAUGAUUUCACCAGCUGUAAAUAAUAUCCUUUGGUUGUGUUAUCAAGCGUUAUUGUUCCCGCUAAAUGGCCCCAACUUUUAACAUUUGAA